UACGUAGGGCGCGAGCGUUGUCCGGAAUUAUUGGGCGUAAAGAGCUCGUAGGCGGCCUGUUGCGUCCGCUGUGAAAUCCCAGGGCUCAACCCUGGGCGUGCAGUGGAUACGGGCAGGCUGGAGGCAGGCAGGGGAGAACGGAAUUCCCGGUGUAGCGGUGAAAUGCGUAGAUAUCGGAAGGAACACCAGUGGCGAAAGCGGCUUCCUGGUCCAGCACCGACGUUCAGGCACGAAAGCGUGGGGAGCGAACAGG
rnacentral:rRNA from 1 species